rnacentral:rRNA from 1 species
UACGUAGGUGACAAGCGUUGUCCGGAUUUACUGGGCGUAAAGAGCGCGCAGGCGGUCGUUCAAGUCGAGUGUGAAAGCCCCCGGCUCAACUGGGGAGGGUCAUUCGAUACUGAUCGACUCGAAGGCAGGAGAGGGUAGUGGAAUUCCCGGUGUAGUGGUGAAAUGCGUAGAUAUCGCUUGGAACGCCAACGGUGAAAAACAGACAGCUGGGAGUGUGCUGACGCUGAGACACGAAAGCCAGGGGGAGCGAAACGGG